AAGAGGUUGACUCAGCUGAGAGGGACGCUGAAACUUCAUCUUCCAGAUCACCAGGUGGGGAUGGCAACAAAGAAGAAGAAAUUGGUCAAUUUGGGGUGACCAGGAGAUGCACCACUGAAAGCAGUGAUCUGCCCUCAGCAAUAGAGAGGUCAGAUGGCGAGGAUCCGGCAGACAUGGAAGUCUCUGGCAUCUCUAACACACCUAAAGGCCCACCACAAAAGAAGAGAGUCAAGUGGAACAAAGAAGAAGUCCAGGCAGUGGAGAAAACGCUGAUGGACUGGAUUGACUCUGGAAAGGUUCCUGGGAAAGCUCAGUGUAUGAAAUGCAUUGAAACAUCAUGUCCUGUCCUCAACAACAGGACCUGGCAAGGUGUGAAAUUCUAUGUAAAAAAUCGCAUAGACGCAUUAAAAAGAGAGACUUUCAAAAGAAGGUAAGACUUAAGAUUUACCUUUUUGUUACCAUCAAAGAAAAUGGUUGAUCAGUUACUGCCAUUGUUAGCGCCAUAACGCCGAUUCUAUUGAGUUUCUGCCAGGUUUCAGACAGCUGCAGGAGUCAACCUUUGUUAUGCAAGUAUUUAUGCAUAC